rnacentral:rRNA from 1 species
GACGAACGCUGGCGGCGUGCCUAACACAUGCAAGUCGAACGCUGAAGGCGGAGCUUGCUGUUCUGGAUGAGUUGCGAACGGGUGAGUAACGCGUAGGUAACCUGCCUGUUACCGGGGGAUAACUUUUGGAAACGAUAGCUAAUCCCGCCUAAGAGUAGUUGUUGUAUGAUAUUUGCUCAAAAGGUUCAAUUGUUUGUCUACCAGAUGGCUAUGCGUUGUAUUAGCUAGUGGGUGGGGUAACGGCUCACCAAGGCGACGAGACGUAGCCGACCUGCGAGGGUGAUCGGCAAAGCUGGGACGGGAGCACGACCCGGACUCCUGCGAGAGGCAGCAGUAGGGAACCUUCGGCGGUGGCCGGAGGUCUGACCAAUCAACGCCGCGCGAGAGAAUAAGGUAGUCGGGUCGUGAGAGUGUGUAAUAAGAGAAGAACGUAUAUGUGUGUGAAAAGGGCACAUUAUGACAGUAUCGUACCAAAAAGCGACGGCUAACUACGUG